rnacentral:rRNA from 1 species
CCUACGGGAGGCAGCAGUGAGGAAUAUUGGUCAAUGGGCGGAAGCCUGAACCAGCCAAGCCGCGUGAGGGAAUAAGGCCCUACGGGUCGUAAACCUCUUUUGCCGGGGAGCAAGGGCGGGGACGUGUCCCGGCCCGGAGAGUACCCGGAGAAAAAGCAUCGGCAAACCCCGUGCCAGCGGCCGCGGUAAUCCGGGGGAUGCGGGCGUUAUCGGGUUUUAUUGGGUUAAAGGGGUGCGUAGGCGGGCGUGUAGGUCAGCGGUAAAAAUGCGGGGCUCAACCCCGUCCGGCCGUUGAAACUGGGGGCCUUGAGUGGGCGAGAAGAAGGCGGAAUGCGUGGUGUAGCGGUGAAAUGCAUAGAUAUCACGCAGAACCCCGAUUGCGAAGGCAGCCUUCCGGCGCCCUACUGACGCUGAGGCACGAAAGUGCGGGGAUCGAACAGGAUUAGAUACCCGGGUAGUC